rnacentral:lncRNA from 1 species
CCCCAGUUGUCACCUUCAAGUCCUUGUUGUCACCUCCAGGCCUCAAUUGUCACCUCCAGAUCCCAAUUGUCACCUCCAUGUUCUUGUUGUCACCUCCCAGGCACAACUGUCACUUCCAUGUCCCAGUUGUCACCUCCUGGCUCCAGUUGUCACUUCCAUGUCCCCGUUGUCACCUCCAGGCCUUAAUUGUCACCUCCAGAUCCCCAUUGUCACCUCCAUGUCCCUGUUGUCACCUCCAGGCCUCAAUUGUCGUCUCCAGAUCCCCAUUGUCACCUCCAUGUCCUUGUUGUCACCUCCCAGCCACAAUUGUCACCUCUGGGUCCCAGCUGUCACCUCUGGGUCCCAACUGUCACCUCUGGGUCCCAAAUGUCACCUCCAGGCCUCAGUUGUCACCUCCAGAUCCCCAUUGUCACCUCCAUGUCCUUGUUGUCACCUCCCAGCCACAAUUGUCACCUUCAGGUCCUUGUUGUCACCUCCCGGGCACAGCUGUUAUGUCCAGGUCCUUGUUGUGACCUCCAGGCCUUAAUUGUCACCUUCAAGUCCUUGUUGUCACCUCCAGGCCUCAAUUGUCAUCUCCAGAUCCCCAUUGUCACCUCCAUGUUCUUGUUGUCACCUCCCCGGCACAGCUGUCACUUCCAUGUCCCAGUUGUCACCUCCAGGCCUCAAUUGUCACCUCCAUGUUCUUGUUGUCACCUCCCUGGCACAGCUGUCACUUCCAUGUCCCAGUUGUCACCUCCUGGCUCCAGUUGUCACCUCCCAGCCCCAGCUGUCACCUCCAUGUCCUUGUUGUCACCUCCUGGCUCCAGUUGUCACUUCCAUGUCCCAGUUGUCACCUCCAGGCCUUAAUUGUCAUCUCCAGAUCCCCAUUGUCACCUCCAUGUUCUUGUUGUCACCUCCCAGCUGCAGCUGUCACCUCCAUGUCCUUGUUGUCACCCCCAGGCACCAGUUGUCACCUCCAGGUCCCCAUUGUCACCUCCAUGUUCUUGUUGUCACCUCCCAGCUGCAGCUGUCCCCUCCAUGUCCCUGUUGUCACCUCCAGGCCUCAAUUGUCACCUCCUGGUCUUUGAUGUCACCUCCCAGCUCCAGUUGUCACCUCCCGGUCUCAAUUGUCACCUUGAGAUCCCUGUUGUCAUCUCCAGAUCCCCAUUGUCACCUCCCAGCCACAAUUGUCACCUUCAGGUCCUUGUUGUCACCUCCAGGCCUCAAUUGUCACCUCUGGGUCCCAAAUGUCACCUCCAGGCCUCAAUUGUCAUCUCCAGAUCCCAAUUGUCACCUCCAUGUUCUUGUUGUCACCUCCCAGGCACAGCUGUCACUUCCAUGUCCCAAUUGUCAUCUCCUGGCUCCAGUUGUCACCUCCCAGCCCCAGCUGUCACCCCCAGGCACCAAUUGUCACCUCCAGGUCCCCAGUUGUCACCUUCAAGUCCUUGUUGUCACCUCCAGGCCUCAAUUGUCACCUC